rnacentral:snRNA from 1 species
UCACUCUUGUUUCUCUUCAGAUCGUAUAAAUCUUUCGCCUUUUACUAAAGAUUUCCGUGGAGAGGAACGACAGGAGUUUAACUCAAUUUUUUGAUGCCCUGUUUUCUGUGGGGUA